ACUUUUUAUUGUCAGAAACCACCAGAAGACUAUAGUACUAACCCUAAUUUUCAGAAACAAUUCUCAAUCCAUUUUCAUCGUCCUAUUUAUACACAAACUUAGCAAAGAUAGCACCGAAAGAAAGCUUUGAAGAUUUAUCAAUCUCAACAUCAAAGAGGAGCAUCGGAAGACAACGACGAGUGAAGGUUGCAAAAAAAGAUGACGAAAAUGCAAGAAAAUAGCAAAAAAUGCCAAGUACCCAAACCGCGCUACAGACCAGGCUUCGCGAGGUCUAUAUCCAGCUUGACCGCGCUACAGACCAGGCUUCGCGAGGUCUAUAGCCAGGUUGACCACGAUCGCGGGUUAAAAGUCUCCAACCCGAAUUUGGACUCAAGGACUUCAACUCUAGCCUAUAAAUACUCCUUAAACAUGUCUAAGAGAAUAGGAGGACGUUUUUAGUGCAAAUUCGACCUAAAGAAGACGCUUUUGGAGAGAGGAUUCGACUUAAGGAGGUAAGAACACGCUAGGAGCAAGGCUAAGAAUUCUUCUACGAGUUUUUCACUUCCUUCUUCCUAUUUCCAUUAUUGGUUAUGAUCAAUUCUAGUAUUAUACUUUAGCAUACUAUUAUGAAUAGCUAAUUUGUUAUCUAGGGUUUUGAUGGAACCUUUUGUGGGAUGGAUUCUUAUUACGUUUUUAUAUAAUUGAGUCGUUGGAUUUCUCUUCUUGUUCAA